UACGUAGGUGGCAAGCGUUGUCCGGAAUUAUUGGGCGUAAAGCGCGCGCAGGCGGUCCUUUAAGUCUGAUGUGAAAGCCCCCGGCUCAACUGGGGAGGGUCAUUCGAUACUGAUCGACUUGAAGGCAGGAGAGGGAAGUGGAAUUCCCGGUGUAGUGGUGAAAUGCGUAGAUAUCGGGAGGAACACCAGUGGCGAAGGCGACUUCCUGGCCUGUUCUUGACGCUGAGGCGCGAAAGCUAGGGGAGCAAACGGG
rnacentral:rRNA from 1 species